rnacentral:tRNA from 1 species
GCCGUCGUAGCUCAGCUGGUAGAGCGUGUGACUGUUAAUCCCUUAACCGGGAACGGUCAUCACAAGGUCAACGGUUCGAGCCCGUUCGACGGCG